rnacentral:sRNA from 1 species
AUAGCCCCGGGUUUGGCCGCCCCAGCCCCGCCUUCCCCGCCCCGGGGAGCCCGCCCCCUGCCCCGCAUCCCUGCGGACAGAGUUAGCACGACAUCAGUAUGAGCUGGUCACCUUCCCUGACAACGCAGACAUGUGGGGCCUGGGAAAUGAAAGAGCGCCUUGGGACAGGGGGAUUUGGAAAUGUCAUCCGAUGGCACAAUCAGGAAACAGGUGAGCAGAUUGCCAUCAAGCAGUGCCGGCAGGAGCUCAGCCCCCGGAACCGAGAGCGGUGGUGCCUGGAGAUCCAGAUCAUGAGAAGGCUGACCCACCCCAAUGUGGUGGCUGCCCGAGAUGUCCCUGAGGGGAUGCAGAACUUGGCGCCCAAUGACCUGCCCCUGCUGGCCAUGGAAUACUGCCAAGGAGGAGAUCUCCGGAAGUACCUGAACCAGUUUGAGAACUGCUGUGGUCUGCGGGAAGGCGCCAUCCUCACCUUGCUGAGUGACAUUGCCUCUGCGCUUAGAUACCUUCAUGAAAACAGAAUCAUCCAUCGGGAUCUAAAGCCAGAAAACAUCGUCCUGCAGCAAGGAGAACAGAGGUUAAUACACAAAAUUAUUGACCUAGGAUAUGCCAAGGAGCUGGAUCAGGGCAGUCUUUGCACAUCAUUCGUGGGGACCCUGCAGUACCUGGCCCCAGAGCUACUGGAGCAGCAGAAGUACACAGUGACCGUCGACUACUGGAGCUUCGGCACCCUGGCCUUUGAGUGCAUCACGGGCUUCCGGCCCUUCCUCCCCAACUGGCAGCCCGUGCAAUGGCAUUCGAAAGUGCGGCAGAAGAGUGAGGUGGACAUUGUUGUUAGCGAAGACUUGAAUGGAACAGUGAAGUUUUCAAGUUCUUUACCCUACCCCAAUAAUCUUAACAGCGUCCUGGCUGAGCGACUGGAGAAGUGGCUGCAACUGAUGCUGAUGUGGCAUCCCCGACAGAGGGGCACAGAUCCCACGUAUGGGCCCAACGGCUGCUUCAAGGCCCUGGAUGACAUCUUAAACUUAAAGCUGGUUCAUAUCUUGAACAUGGUCACGGGCACCAUCCACACCUACCCUGUGACAGAGGAUGAGAGUCUGCAGAGCUUGAAGGCCAGAAUCCAGCAGGACACAGGCAUCCCAGAGGAGGACCAGGAGCUGCUGCAGGAAGCGGGCCUGGCGUUGAUCCCCGAUAAGCCUGCCACUCAGUGUGUUUCAGACGGCAAGGUGAGCCCUGGCUUCGUACACACCACCCUGUUUCCCUUGGCUGUGCCUCCUGGGAAACUCAACACACCUUCAGAUUUCAAUUCUGCUUUGUCAUGUAGUCUGUUAAUGACACAGUGCGGAUACCUGGCUGGUUUUUAAGUUGGAGUAUGGUGUCCUCUGUGUGGCCUGAUAGGAAACACAAAUCUCCUUGUUGGACUUGUUACUUCCAGACCCUCCAAGACCGUUCUCUUGCCUUUAUUGCAAAAAAAGAUGCGUAACACUCGAAUCUCUCAAGUUGCCCGCUUGGCCCUCUUCCAAG